UGUCUGAAUUGACUGGUGUCGUCCUCCC
rnacentral:sRNA from 1 species